GGGCAACGAAAACCACGUUGGGUUUCUCACAGAGUUAUGACUUAACCGAAGAAGUGUGGCAACUUGAGAUUCUGGGACAUCGCUCUCUUCAACCUCUAUUUGUUGGCCCGACAAUCAUGGCGUCUGCUCAUAGUGCCUAACUCUCUUUGUGCACAGCUGCUUAAAUCGGUCUACUACUCAAACAAUGAUAUUCUGACUUCCGAGCUGGGACCUAACCCGUGCCAGGUUUCGAGAUCGAUCUUGGAAGGUAGAGAGGUGUUCUCGCAGGGCAUCAUAAGGCGCAUUGGGAAUAGUGCAACUACCCGAGUCCGGGCAAACAAUUGGAUACCGAGAGACACGUUGAUGAGGCCAAUAGCUUGCCUGGCUAGCGACCCCAUACAUUUGUCAGCGAGUUGA
rnacentral:rRNA from 1 species